rnacentral:rRNA from 1 species
GACGAACGCUGGCGGCGUGCUUAACACAUGCAAGUCGAACGGAAAGGCCCUGCUUUUGUGGGUUUCUCGAUUGGCGAACGGGUGAGUAACACGUGAGUAACCUGCCCUUGACUUUGUGAUAACUUCAGGAAACUGGGGCUAAUACCGGAUAGGAUCUUCUGCUGCAUGUUGUUGGUUGGAAAGUUUCGGCGGUUGUGGAUGGACUCGCUGCUUAUCAGCUUGUUGGGGGGGUAGUGACUUUCCAAGGCUUUGACGGGUAGGCGGCCUGAGAGGGUUACCGGGCACCUUGCGACUGAGAUACGGACCAGACUCCUACGGGAGGCAGCAGGGGGGAAUCUUGCACAGCGGGGGGAAGCCAGAUGCAGAAACGCCGCGUGCGGGAUGACGGCCUUCGGGUUGUAAACCGAUUUCGAAUGUGACGAAGCGUGCGUGACGGUAAUGAGUAAAGAAGCAACGGCUAACUACGUG